AGCGAAAAAUAUAUAAGCAAUAGUAGUUAAUAGAAAUAUUGGAGUUAUAAAGUGAGAACUUAGGGCUUGAUUACUCGUGACCAAAAAAAACCCUACCUCUUCUUUCUCUUCCGACGCCGUUCUCUGCUCGAACGAAAACACAAAAGAGGGCUUAGGGCUUCACUCCGGCGGCCGGCCAAGGCAAGGUUCUAUGGAUUCUUCACACCGCCGAGCUUCUCACGACGAGGAGAAAUCUGGAGCACGAGAAGGAGCCGCGAUUUCGAGUCUUCCGAUCAGAGCUCCGAGACCUAGAAGUCCUCCUUGCGUUCGGUUGUAAGUCCAAGAACGCUAGAUAUAGGAAAGAAAAAGAUAUAGCAAGGAAGGCGACAAGGUGGCGCGGAUGGUGUGUGAUGUUUGGACUAUAGAGUAGAUUAAGAGAUUGAACCUGAAUUUAUUUAGAAUGUUUUGGUUUAAGUGUUUAACGUAUUUAGAACUUGUGCAUGUUAUUAUUUGGUUUGUUUUGUCGUGUAUUCGUUAGAGUUGAUCUUUCCUUGGUA